GUGUGACAAGCAGUCAAGAGAAUUUGUACUUCCUGUUUUCGCAUCCACCCCGUGAUAUUUAAAGAUCAACCUCUCAAGAAACUCCUCACAUAAAGACUUUUCUGAUGCAAUCAUGGAAAGAGUCCAAAUUCUAAGUCAACAGUUGGAAAAAUAUCUACUGCUGUUCUUUCUUACAGCAUCAGGUGUAAUCUGUCAAGACUGGAUUCGACCAAGUGACGAGAGGACCAGUGUUACCAGUACAGAAGGAGAUUCUGUAACACUGGAGUGUUCAUAUGACACAAGCAGCAGCUAUGUUAUCCUUUAUUGGUACAGAGAGUUUUCUAACACACAGCCUCAAUAUAUACUGCUUAAAGGUGGACGAUCAGAGACAUAUCAGAACAUACCAGACCCCCAACGAUUUACAUCAACUACAUCCCAGAAAUCCACCUCACUGACCAUUAAGAGUGUAACUCUGUCAGAUUCGGCUUUCUAUUACUGUGCUCUAAGAGUAACAGCCCAGUGAUACAAAGUGCCUGACAGGCUUUACAAAAACUUACUAAGAAAACUCGCUUUGAACAGUGAGUUAUCAAAUGAAUAACAAACCACAUUUGUGUCUUUAUAAACCACAUAGUCAAAUUGCAAGAUUUGGUAACACCUGCAGCAAAUAAUUAUACAGCUUCAUGUAGCUGCAGUAAGUGAGAGCUGAUGUAAAUCGGAUAAUUUUAGUGAUUAAAUAAUUAAUAAGCUUUAUAUAUUAUCAACACAGCUCUUUAGCAUGGAUUAUUAACAGGACAUUAAUUUACAUUUUAGACACAACUCAAAUAGUUCCAAUCGAAGCCACAAAAGAAUCACUGCAUCUCCCAGAAACACACAAUUAGGGGUGUUUGUGUUUUUGAACGAAUGAUUGUCAAAAAAAAACACUCAUUAAAAAACAUUUGCUUGUUUCAUUCAUGAAUAAAUCCGAGCUAUUGAAUGA